UACGUAGGUGGCAAGCGUUGUCCGGAAUUAAUGGGCGUAAAGCGCGCGCAGGCGGCCUUUUAAGUCUGAUGUGAAAGCCCACGGCUCAACCGUGGAAGGUCAUUGGAAACUGAAAGGCUUGAGUACAGAAGAGGAAAGCGGAAUUCCACGUGUAGCGGUGAAAUGCGUAGAGAUGUGGAGGAACACCAGUGGCGAAGGCGGCUUUCUGGUCUGUAACUGACGCUGAGGCGCGAAAGCGUGGGGAGCAAACAGG
rnacentral:rRNA from 1 species